AAUUUAUUUCAUAAUUUUCUUGAUUCCGGCAAUCAAAAAAUAAAAAAUCUUUAAUCAAUCUCCGGCGUCCCUCUGGGUUAACAAUGUCAAACUGAAUACUCAUAUAACGUAUACUUUGUUUUUUUAGAUUCUGGUUUGGAUUAAUCUGGCCUGAUUUCUUUGUCCUGGUGCUACAUACUUGGUCUGUGCAUUGAAUUCGGUGGAUGUGCACCUUGAAAGAAACUGUAUAUGUGGUUCUCAUCUUCUUCCGACUUACUGACAGGUGCCUCGGCUCUAAUUUAUGGAUAGAGAAUUCAAGAAUAUGUAAUAUCGUAGUUUAUAAUAAAGAUGAAUCAAUUUA